rnacentral:rRNA from 1 species
CAGUCGCCACGGGAAUACGUAGGUGGCAAGCGUUGUCCGGAAUUAUUGGGCGUAAAGGGCUCGCAGGCGGUUUCUUAAGUCCGAUGUGAAAGCCCCCGGCUCAACCGGGGAGGAUCAUUGGAAACUGGGAAACUUGAGUGCAGAAGAGGAGAGUGGAAUUCCACGUGUAGCGGUGAAAUGCGUAGAGAUGUGGAGGAAUACCAGUGGCGUAGGCGACUCUCUGGUCUGUAACUGACGCUGAGGAGCGAAAGCGUGGGGAGCGAACAGGAUUAGAUACCCCAGUAGUCCCUGUCUCUUAUAC